AAGUGCGAUAUAUAGUGCGAUCUGCAUGAAUCUGUGAGUCAUCUAGUAUUUGAACGCAACUUGCGCCAGGCGAAGAGCUUGGCAUGUUCCAUCGAGUACCGAAAACGAUAGUUUUGUAGUAAUACAAAGAUAUGGCCAUUGUCUGUGGAGACUGCGCUGAAAUGGAGCAAGUGAGGUGUAGGAACUGCUCUCACGUGUGCCAGAGACAAUUGUCUUGUCACGCGGGGGCAGCGUCUAUUCCAACAAUUCCAACUUUAACAAACUGGUCUCGGUGGAGCAAGAUUACCCGCUGAACUUAA
rnacentral:misc_RNA from 1 species